UUGCUCCUUUUUGCACCCACAAAUAAGAUCAAAUUCUCAUCAUUCUUCAGGAUUGUUUUGUCUUGUUUUAACACCCAUCUAUUAUUCUUUGGUAACAUUAUAUGGUUUAAUUGAUCAUGCUGAGUGGUUUCUCUCCUUAUUUCCUUCCUUAUAUUUAUAGAAUUAAGCUUCUCAUAUAAGUAUGUGUAUAUAUGUAUAGGAUGUACGGAUUAAGGUUUGGAGGUGGAUACAAGAAACGAUUUGGUUAAAUCCAUUUAGUUUCGAACAUCCUUAUGACUCAAAUUUAGAGAUAUGAAGCCUCGAGCUGAAGACAACCAAGCCGACCAUAAUUCAAUUGAUCAAAAGGUAAUCUUGGACUUGACUUGUUGGGAAGAAAGAUGGAAUGUAGUGUGUAGAGCCCAUAUAAAGCACAGUCGGAUGGCAAACUCUAGCGGUAUAAUGUUCGCACAUCUUUAGAAGAUGCUUCGGGAUUAUAAGUUUAAGGUGAUUGUACACUAUUCAUUGACAUCUCUAUUAGAAUAGAAUAUUAUUUUGAGACAAGGUGGACCCAUUGUGUUUUGAAAUUUGAUUCGCUUGGUUGAAA